rnacentral:rRNA from 1 species
GACGAACGCUGGCGGCGUGCUUAACACAUGCAAGUCGAACGGUGAAGCGCCUUCCUUUUUGGUGGGUGUGGAUGAGUGGCGAACGGGUGAGUAACACGUGAGUAACCUGCCCCCUUCUUCUGGAUAACCGCAUGAAAGUGUGGCUAAUACGGGAUAUUCUGGGUCUGUCGCAUGAUGGGUCUGGGAAAGAUAUUGUUUCGGUGGGGGAUGGGCUCGCGGCCUAUCAGCUUGUUGGUGGGGUGAUGGCCUACCAAGGCGGUGACGGGUAGCCGGCCUGAGAGGGUGGACGGUCACACUGGGACUGAGACACGGCCCAGACUCCUACGGGAGGCAGCACGGGGGAAUAGUGCACAAUGGGCGCAAGCCUGAUGCAGCGACGCCGCGUGAGGGAUGGAGGCCUUCGGGUUGUGAACCUCUUUCGCCAGUGAAGCAGGCCUGCCUCGUUUGUGGGUGGGUUGACGGUAGCUGGAUAAGAAGCGCCGGCUAACUACGUG